GACGAACGCUGGCGGCGUGCCUAAUACAUGCAAGUAGAACGCUGAAGAGAGGAGCUUGCUCUUCUUGGAUGAGUUGCGAACGGGUGAGUAACGCGUAGGUAACCUGCCUUGUAGCGGGGGAUAACUAUUGGAAACGAUAGCUAAUACCGCAUAACAAUGGAUGACACAUGUCAUUUAUUUGAAAGGGGCAAUUGCUCCACUACAAGAUGGACCUGCGUUGUAUUAGCUAGUAGGUGAGGUAACGGCUCACCUAGGCGACGAUACAUAGCCGACCUGAGAGGGUGGUCGGCCACACCGGGACUGGGACACGGCCCAGACUCCUACGGGAGGCAGCAGUAGGGAAUCUUCGGCAAUGGGGGCAACCCUGACCGAGCAACGCCGCGUGAGUGAAGAAGGUUUUCGGAUCGUAAAGCUCUGUUGUAAGUCAAGAACGAGUGUGAGAGUGGAAAGUUCACACUGUGACGGUAGCUUACCAGAAAGGGACGGCUAACUACGUG
rnacentral:rRNA from 1 species